CUACGGGCUGCAGCAGUGAGGAAUAUUGCACAAUGGGGGGAACCCUGAUGCAGCAACGCCGCGUGGAGGAUGACGCAUUUCGGUGUGUAAACUCCUUUUAUAUAGGAAGAUAAUGACGGUACUAUAUGAAUAAGCACCGGCUAACUCCGUGCCAGCAGCCGCGGUAAUACGGAGGGUGCAAGCGUUACUCGGAAUCACUGGGCGUAAAGCGCGCGCAGGCGGCCCCGUAAGUUGGAUGUGAAAGCCUACGGCUUAACCGUAGAACUGCAUCCAAAACUGAGGGGCUAGAGUCUGGGAGGGGAAGAUGGAAUUAGUUGUGUAGGGGUAAAAUCCGUAGAGAUAACUAAGAAUACCAAAAGCGAAGGCGAUCUUCUGGAACAGUACUGACGCUGAGGCGCGAAAGCGUGGGGAGCAAACAGGAUUAGAUACCCGCGUAGUC
rnacentral:rRNA from 1 species